rnacentral:rRNA from 1 species
UACAGCGGGUGCAAGCGUUAAUCGGCAUUACUGGGCGUAAAGCGUGCGCAGUCGGUUAUUUAAGUCGGAUGUGAAAUCCCCGGGCUCAACCUGGGAAUUGCAUUCGAUACUGGGUAGCUAGAGUUCGGCAGAGGGAAGUGGAAUUUCAGGUGUAGCGGUGAAAUGCGUAGAUAUCUGAAGGAACAUCAGUGGCGAAAGCGACUUCCUGGACCAGAACUGACGAUCAGGCACGAAAGCGUGGGGAGCAAACAGG